rnacentral:misc_RNA from 1 species
GAAAUGCGAUAAGUAAUGUGAAUUGCAGAAUUCAGUGAAUCAUCGAAUCUUUGAACGCACAUUGCGCCCGCCAGUAUUCUGGCGGGCAUGCCUGUUCGAGCGUCAUUUCAACCAUCAAGCCCCCGGCUUGUGUUGGGGACCUGCGGCUGCCCGCAGGCCCUGAAAAACAGUGGCGGGCUCGCUGUCACACCGAGCGUAGUAGCAUACAUUCUCGCUCAGGGCGUGCUGCGGGUUCCGGCCGUUAAACGACCUUCAUAACCCAAGGUUGACCUCGGAUCAGGUAGGAAGACCCGCUGAACUUAAUC